AGCCUUUAGUCAACCCACUAUUAAAGGUGAUGCCUGCCCAGUGACUCAUUAAACGGCCGCGGGAUCCUCCACCGUGCAAAGGUAGCAUAAUCACUUGUCCUCUAAAUAAGGACUAGUAUGAAUGGCCACAUGAAGAUUUUCCUGUCUCUUGUAGAAAAUCUAUGAAACUGAUCUUUCAGUACAAAAGCUGACAUAAUUACACAAGACGAAAAGACCCUGUGGAACUUUAAACAAUAGCCAAAUAACAUGACUUCACUUGCUUUUAGUUGGGGCAACUAUGGAAAUAAACUAAACUUCCACAACAAUACACAGGUGGACACACCAAUACCCCCCUUCCCCGAUCCAGUACUUACUGAAAAAGAACCAAGCUACCCCAGGGAUAACAGCGCUAUCCCCUCUUAGAGCCCCCAUCGAUGAGGGGGUUUACGACCUCGAUGUUGGAUCAGGGCCCCCAAACAGUGCAACAGCUGUUAAAGGUUUGUUUGUUCAACAAUUAAUGCCCU
rnacentral:rRNA from 1 species